rnacentral:rRNA from 1 species
UACAUGGGGUGCAAACGUUGCUCGGAAUUAUUGGGCGUAAAGCGCACGUAGGCGGUUCGUUAAGUCGGAUGUGAAAGCCCUCGGCUCAACUGAGGAAGUGCACCCGAAACUGGCGAGCUUGAGUACGAAAGAGGAUCGCGGAAUUCCCGGUGUAGAGGUGAAAUUCGUAGAUAUCGGGAGGAACACCGGCGGCGGAAGGCGGCGAUCUGGGUCGAUACUGACGCUCAUGCACGAAAGCGUGGGAGCAAACAGG